rnacentral:rRNA from 1 species
ACAACUUUCAACAACGGAUCUCUUGGUUCUGGCAUCGAUGAAGAACGCAGCGAAAUGCGAAAAGUAGUGUGAAUUGCAGAAUUCAGUGAAUCAUCGAAUCUUUGAACGCACAUUGCGCCCCUUGGUAUUCCAUGGGGCAUGCCUGUUCGAGCGUCAUUUUGUACCCUCAAGCACUGCUUGGUGUUGGGCGUUUGUCCUGCAAAGGACUCGCCUGAAAGCGAUUGGCGGCCAACGUACUGGUGGUAGAGCGCAGCACAAUUUGCGUCUCUCCCUUCUACGUCGGCGUCCAUGAAGCCUUUUUUCAACGUUUGACCUCGGAUCAGGUAGGGAUACCCGCUGAACUUAAGCAUAUCAAUAAGCGGAGGAAAAGAAACCAACAGGGAUUGCCCUAGUAACGGCGAGUGAAGCGGCAUCAGCUCAAAUUUGAAAUCUGGCUCUUUCAGAGUCCGAGUUGUAAUUUGCAGAGGGCGCUUUGGUGUCGGCAGCGGUCCAAGUUCCUUGGAACAGGACGUCACAGAGGGUGAGAAUCCCGUACGUGGUCGCUGACCUACACCGUGUAAAGCCCCUUCGACGAGUCGAGUUGUUUGGGAAUGCAGCUCUAAAUGGGAGGUAAAUUUCUUCUAAAGCUAAAUACUGGCCAGAGACCGAUAGCGCACAAGUAGAGUGAUCGAAAGAUGAAAAGCACUUUGGAAAGAGAGUCAAACAGCACGUGAAAUUGUUGAAAGGGAAGCGCUUGCAGCCAGACUUGCUUGUAGUUGCUCAUCCGGGCUUUUGCCCGGUGCACUCUUCUGCGAGCAGGCCAGCAUCAGUUUGGACGGUUGGAUAAAGGCCUCUGUCACGUACCUUCUCUCGGGAAGGCCUUAUAGGGGAGGCGUCAUGCAACCAGUCUGGACUGAGGUCCGCGCAUCUGCUAGGAUGCUGGCGUAAUGGCUGUAAGCGGCCCGUCUUGAAACACGGACCAAGGAGUCUAACAUCUAUGCGAGUGUUUGGGUGUCAAGCCCGAGCGCGUAAUGAAAGUGAACGGAGGUGGGAUCCCGCAAGGGUGCACCAUCGACCGAUCCUGAUGUCUUCGGAUGGAUUUGAGUAAGAGCAUGGCUGUUGGGACCCGAAAGAUGGUGAACUAUGCUUGAAUAGGGUGAAGCCAGAGGAAACUCUGGUGGAGGCUCGCAGCGGUUCUGACGUGCAAAUCGAUCGUCAAAUUUGGGCAUAGG